ACUAGACAAAUCGUGUGUGUGAAAACUAUUUUUGAAGAUUAAAUAUAUCUCACCGAAAAUAGGGGGGGGGGUGCGAUAGGACGGGAACCUCUUUUAACGCCUACGUAGGUUUAUUUAGAUUGCUAGAGAUGACCAUGUAUUUCAUUCUCCUCAAAGGGUGUUUCCAUUCAGAAAGCCUACAUUAUGAGUUUCAGACCUAGAGGCGGUCAUUAAAUGUACUUACGUACGUAAUAUUUCAUUUAUAUAUACAAAGUGCCUGUUUUACGAAAUGUUUCACGAUUAUCCCAAUAGCCCUGGCUUUAAUUACAUUUUUCAUUUCUUUAAUUUUAUCGUUUUUACAUGUAGUUUGCUUCCUAAAAAGGCAGACCGAAUUUCUGGACUUUGGGGUGAAACGGGUCCCUGAUUCUUUGCAUGAUCGGACAGUGACACAGACAAGAAUGUCAAGCACCAGUAAAACACACCACACGUAGUCUGUCAACCGUGUGAUUAAUCUCAUUCCCAGAUCUGCAUCCCUGCUGCGACCCAUUAAAGGCGGACGUAUCCACUCCUGUUUUGUUUGCAAGUGAAAACUACUUCAUUUUCAUCAAACUUGAUUAAUGCAGGUACAGUAACUAAUGCUUCAGGUUCCACAAAAUAGCCAGCAGCAGCGCUCCCUGGCGGAAAGUAAGCGGUGAUGGAUCAUCAAAUUAGUUCAUGAUGGAGAGCACGCUAUACUUAGAAGUGUGUGUUUUGGAUGGAUUUUCCAUCUCAUCCUAUUGGAUGGGAAAUAUCUGUGUUUAGAAACUGCAUUUUGGAUGGUUUCUUCAUCGGAUAGGGGGUUAUCCCUUCACUACUAAUCACUCCUAAUGAAUGAUCCAC